CCACGAUUGCCCAGACUGGCCCUGGGGGCGGGCCGUCGAGGGGCGGGGCGAAUCGCCCCGUUACGGGGACCGAUCAGGGACAAAGUCGGUUGGUGGACGCACGUGUCCUGCUGCUGUAGGCCUCCGCGCUACCCCAAUGGAGCGGGGGCGGAGAGACCGGUGCCCGGGAGCCGGAGCGGGGUUCGCGUGGUCCGGGCAACGCGGCGUAGGGAGAGCCUGCGGAAAGCGGCGGUCGGGCGGAAGCCGGUGGGGCCCCAGGCGGCGGAAGACAAGCUCCUUAAGGGGCCUCCGCAGAGCUCCAUCCUCAGUGCGCCUGCGAUCUUCGUGCCGCAACAGGAGAAGGCUAGAUGAGUUUCCCAGCCAGAUGCCCUCCCUGUCCAACAGCAGUGGACCGGCCACCAGCUGCACCUCCCACAGCACCCCAUAGAGGCUCUGCUGGAACGAGAAGAGGAAGUGGGUAAAAGGCAUCCACUCUGCUCCGUCCAGCCCAGGCCAGCAUUUGGCAAGCUUGUGUACUUUUAUAUAAAAAGGAAUGGCUUUGAGAAUAGUCUUGCAUUUAAAAACCAGUUUCAAAAAAAUAAAAUCAGUUUCAUUUAA